AGCUCAAAUUUGAAAUCUGGCGUAAGCCCGAGUUGUAAUUUGUAGAGGAUGCUUCUGGGUAGCGGCCGGUCUAAGUUCCUUGGAACAGGACGUCAUAGAGGGUGAGAAUCCCGUAUGUGACUGGCUUGCACCCUCCACGUAGCUCCUUCGACGAGUCGAGUUGUUUGGGAAUGCAGCUCUAAAUGGGAGGUAAAUUUCUUCUAAAGCUAAAUACCGGCCAGAGACCGAUAGCGCACAAGUAGAGUGAUCGAAAGAUGAAAAGCACUUUGGAAAGAGAGUUAAAAAGCACGUGAAAUUGUUGAAAGGGAAGCGCCCGCAACCAGACUUUGCGGCGGUGUUCGGCUGGUCUUCUGACCGGUUUACUCGCCGCCGUGAGGCCAUCAUCGUCUGGGACCGCUGGAUAAGACCUGAGGAAUGUAGCUCCCUUCGGGGUGUGUUAUAGCCUCUGGUGAUGCAGCGCGUCUCGGGCGAGGUCCGCGCUUCGGCAAGGAUGAUGGCGUAAUGGUUGUCGGCGGCCCGUCUUGAAACACGGACCAAGGAGUCUAACAUCUAUGCGAGUGUUCGGGUGUCAAACCCCUACGCGUAAUGAAAGUGAACGGAGGUGGGAACUUUUUGUGCACCAUCGACCGAUCCUGAUGUCCUCGGAUGGAUUUGAGUAAGAGCAUAGCUGUUGGGACCCGAAAGAUGGUGAACUAUGCCUGAAUAGGGUGAAGCCAGAGGAAACUCUGGUGGA
rnacentral:rRNA from 5 species